CGGUGCCAGCCGCCGCGGUAAUACAGAGAGUGCGAGCGUUCAUCGGAAUCACUGGGCGUAAAGCGCGCGUAGGUGGAUAUUUAAGUCGGAUGUGAAAGCCCUGGGCUUAACCUAGGAAUUGCACCCGAUACUAGGUAUCUCGAGUAUGGUAGAGGGAAGUGGAAUUUCCGGUGUAGCGGUGAAAUGCGUAGAUAUCGGAAAGAACACCAGUGGCGAAGGCGGCUUCCUGGACCAAUACUGACACUGAGGCACGAAAGCGUGGGGAGCAAACAGGAUUAGAUACCCGUGUAGUCCUA
rnacentral:rRNA from 1 species